AGAGAUGGUUUCUGUUGCUGUUCUGGUUGUUGUUGUUGUUGUUGCUGCAGUUGCUUUUGUUCCUUGGAAGCAAAGGAGAGUAUUUCAUUUUCUGGGGCUGGAAGAUUGAGAUCCAAAUCCAAGGAAAGUAGGUUUCUUGCUUUCUUGGGUUCCUCUGAUUCUUUAGCCAUUGGUGCUAAUGACAAGGUUGUGCGAGUAUUAGCCCCUAUUGGUGUCCGAUGCCGCCUCAUAUGGCCGCCCAAGGCUUGGCCGGAUGUGAACUCAGCCCCACAAACGGAACACUCAUGAAUCUUGGUUUUGUUUUGAUUGCUGCUGCUAUACAUACCUCUAUUGUUAUUAUUAUUACUCAAUUGAAGAGAAAGAGAAGA
rnacentral:misc_RNA from 1 species